CAAACAUCAUCACCAGCACACUUCCUCUCUCAAAGUCGUCCCCAAGAAACGCGUUUGAGCUCGGCGAAGGCUUCGAGCGGCGGCGGCGGCGGACGUUCGGUCUAGCUCUGUGAACGUCAUUUAAACUGAUGCCACUGUAAGUGUGGCCGAUAGUCCUGCAGUUUCAUAUCGCAGAUAGAGAGCUGGGGUGUGAGGUGUGUGUGUGUGUGUGUGUGUGUGAAGUGUAAUCAGAGCGUAUCUCAGCUCGCACCCUCGUGCAUCAGCCUGUAGUUUUAACAGAGGAAUGGAAAAACCUGAAAAGGUCACAUCGCAUGGCGGUUGUUUUUUCAGAGCACACGGCGUCUUUUGGUGGGUCGGUAAACAAAUGCGACGGAUCCCAUGGGUGCGGAGCUCGGCGAACCGCAGAGCCUCGUUCGCUCCUGCUCGUCUCGGCUCGCGGCGGUGUAUUUUUGUCCCUGUGAAGAUGCAAAAGGACCUCCCAGAACUCGUUGGAUGUUUGAGGGGUUAGCGGAGACCGCAUGGGCCACAUCAUCAGGUCGCGGCGUGGAGGAGGAUCGGCGCAGCGGAUUGGUCCGAGGGGCUUCACCCUGCAGACUCCUUCCGAACGGCAUCCGAGGCAGCGCGAGUGUUGUGUCACCGACUGGGCCGCGGGGGCUGGUGUUUCAUGUGUUGUCGGGGGCUCCUCUAGUGGCCACAGCCAGAACUGCCCCCCCCUCUCUACUGAUGGAGAGAUUUCCUCAGUGACAGCUCCUAAGAGACAAACUGAGUAGACUGGGGCCGCAACUGACGGUUAUUUUCAUCAUCGACGAAUCUGUCGAUUAUUUCCUCGAUUACUCGUUUGGUCCAUAGAAUGUCUUGUUUUACCAAAACUCAAAGAGGAUGUUUUCUACUGAAGAUGUUCAGUUUUUCCUGUCACAGAGGAGCAAAGAAACCAGAACAUAUUCACCUUAAAGAAGCUGAAAUCAGAGGAUUUAGACUUUUUUUCCUCUCCGGAAAAACGACUUCAACCAAUUAAUCAAAAAUAGUUUGAGAUUCUCUUAGUAAUCGAUUACUAAUCGAUUGACUGUUGCAGCUCUAAAGUAGACCUAUGUUAAGAAUACAUUUUAAACAUGUGUAAUUAAAGGAA